GCUUCCAUAGCUCAGCAGGUAGAGCACUUCCAUGGUAAGGAAGAGGUCAGCGGUUCGAGCCGCUUGGAAGCU
rnacentral:tRNA from 1 species